rnacentral:rRNA from 1 species
UGGCUCAGAUUGAACGCUGGCGGCAGGCCUAACACAUGCAAGUCGAGCGGAUGAGAAGAGCUUGCUCUUCGAUUCAGCGGCGGACGGGUGAGUAAUACCUAGGAAUCUGCCUGGUAGUGGGGGACAACGUUUCGAAAGGAACGCUAAUACCGCAUACGUCCUACGGGAGAAAGCAGGGGACCUUCGGGCCUUGCGCUAUCAGAUGAGCCUAGGUCGGAUUAGCUAGUUGGUGAGGUAAUGGCUCACCAAGGCUACGAUCCGUAACUGGUCUGAGAGGAUGAUCAGUCACACUGGAACUGAGACACGGUCCAGACUCCUACGGGAGGCAGCAGUGGGGAAUAUUGGACAAUGGGCGAAAGCCUGAUCCAGCCAUGCCGCGUGUGUGAAGAAGGUCUUCGGAUUGUAAAGCACUUUAAGUUGGGAGGAAGGGCAGUAAGCGAAUACCUUGCUGUUUUGACGUUACCGACAGAAUAAGCACCGGCUAACUCUGUGCCAGCAGCCGCGGUAAUACAGAGGGUGCAAGCGUUAAUCGGAAUUACUGGGCGUAAAGCGCGCGUAGGUGGUUCGUUAAGUUGGAUGUGAAAUCCCCGGGCUCAACCUGGGAACUGCAUCCAAAACUGGCGAGCUAGAGUAGGGCAGAGGGUGGUGGAAUUUCCUGUGUAGCGGUGAAAUGCGUAGAUAUAGGAAGGAACACCAGUGGCGAAGGCGACCACCUGGGCUCAUACUGACACUGAGGUGCGAAAGCGUGGGGAGCAAACAGGAU